CAUUUUGCUUCUGUUUUCUAUUGUUUGACCUUGAUCUUCUCUAUCUUUGGUCAACACUUGUUGAUUAAUACAUACCAUUUCCAUUAUUGCACUUUAAUUCUUCUUCUUCUUCUUCUUCUUUUUCUUUUUUUAACAAUGAGUUAAAGAUUGGUGGUUAGCAUUGAUACAUGGAGGUUUAAUCUUCCUUGAUUCAAAUCUAAUUCA
rnacentral:lncRNA from 1 species